UGGGGAAUUUUGGACAAUGGGCGAAAGCCUGAUCCAGCAAUGCCGCGUGUGUGAAGAAGGCCUUCGGGUUGUAAAGCACUUUUUGUCCGGAAAGAAAUCCUUGGCUCUAAUACAGUCGGGGGAUGACGGUACCGGAAGAAUAAGCACCGGCUAACUACGUGCCAGCAGCCGCGGUAAUACGUAGGGUGCAAGCGUUAAUCGGAAUUACUGGGCGUAAAGCGUGCGCAGGCGGUUUUGCUAAGACCGAUGUGAAAUCCCCGGGCUCAACCUGGGAACUGCAUUGGUGACUGGCAGGCUAGAGUAUGGCAGAGGGGGGUAGAAUUCCACGUGUAGCAGUGAAAUGCGUAGAGAUGUGGAGGAAUACCGAUGGCGAAGGCAGCCCCCUGGGCCAAAUACUGACGCUCAUGCACGAAAGCGUGGGGAGCAAACAGGAUUAGAUACCCUGGUAGUCCACGCCCUAAACGAUGUCAACUAGUUGUUGGGGAUUCAUUUCCUUAGUAACGUAGCUAACGCGUGAAGUUGACCGCCUGGGGGAGUACGGUCGC
rnacentral:rRNA from 1 species